rnacentral:tRNA from 1 species
UGGGAUGUAGUUCAGUGGCAGAGCGCUUGCCUAGCAUGUAUGAGGCACUGGGUUUGAUCCUUAGCACCUCAU